rnacentral:rRNA from 1 species
AUUGAACGCUGGCGGCAGGCCUAACACAUGCAAGUCGAGCGGAUGAAGGGAGCUUGCUCCUGGAUUCAGCGGCGGACGGGUGAGUAAUGCCUAGGAAUCUGCCUGGUAGUGGGGGAUAACGUCCGGAAACGGGCGCUAAUACCGCAUACGUCCUGAGGGAGAAAGUGGGGGAUCUUCGGACCUCACGCUAUCAGAUGAGCCUAGGUCGGAUUAGCUAGUUGGUGGGGUAAAGGCCUACCAAGGCGACGAUCCGUAACUGGUCUGAGAGGAUGAUCAGUCACACUGGAACUGAGACACGGUCCAGACUCCUACGGGAGGCAGCAGGGGGGAAUAUUGGACAAUGGGCGAAAGCCUGAUCCAGCAUGCCGCGUGUGUGAAGAAGGUCUUCGGAUUGUAAAGCACUUUAAGUUGGGAGGAAGGGCAGUAAGUUAAUACCUUGCUGUUUUGACGUUACCAACAGAAUAAGCACCGGCUAACUUCGUG